ensembl:lncRNA
UUUGAUUACAUUGGUCUCACUCAGAUAACCCAGGAUCAUCUCUUUAUUUUAAGACAAUUGCCACUACAGAACCUUUCCAGGAUGCUGACACUGCCUUCACCAAUUAAUAUCUCAAAGCCAUGAUGAAGGAUAUGUACUCUGGACCUGCUUAGGUGAUAUAACAAUAACCAUGAUGGUGUGAUCACUCACCUAGAGCCAGACAGCCUGGAAUGUGAAGUCAAAUGGGCCUUAGAAAGCAUCACUACGAACAAAGCUAGUGGAGGUGAUGGAAUUCCAGUAGAGCUAUUUCAAAUCCUGAAAGAUGAUGCUGUGACUAUGCUGCACUCAACAUGCCAGCAAAUUUGGAAAACUCAGCAGUGGCCACAGGACUGGAAAAGGUCAGUUUUCAUCCCAAUCCCAAAGAUAUGCAAUGCCAAAGAAUGCUCAAACUACUACACAAUUGCACUCAUCUCACACGCUAGUAAAGUAAUGCUCAAAAUUCUCCAAGUCAGGCUUCAGCAGUACGUGAACCGUGAACUUCCAGAUGUCCAAGCUGGUUUUAGAAAAUGCAGAGGAACCAGAGAUCAAAUUGCCAACAUCCGCUGGAUCAUCGAAAAAGCAAGAGAGUUCCAGAAAGACAUCUAUUUCUGCUUUAUUGACUAUGCAAUGCCUUUGGCUGUGUGGAUCACAAUAAACUGUGGAAAAUUCUGAAAGAGAUGGGAAUACCAGACCACCUGAC